rnacentral:misc_RNA from 1 species
UCUAAAGGGAGAUUUCAUAGAGCUGCAUGAUCUAGUGGAUUGAUCAUCCAACAAUGUUUAAAGGAUCGUUUUUGAAAGACAUGUGGAUAUUAACCUAAUGGGUUAGGUUAUCGCUCAAAGUUAUUGAUUCAUGGAAUUAGAAGUUAUAGGAGUUUAAAUCCCAGCUAGAAGGAGUUUACAAGACAUAGAAGGCAUUCAAAUGCGCAGCUGAAAAAUAGAAGGGUUUAGAAUUCAGUUGAAAGAAGAGGUUUAUGUUAUGAGAAAUCUUAUAUAAAACAUUAAGUAAAGAAAUGGAAGAUAUUAAUGUUUUGUGGAGCGUUCAAAAUUUAAAUGAUGAACUCAUACUGUUAGUUAUGAUGUUCAGGGAGAUAUCAUAGCAACUUGCUUCAUUUGUCGAGGCAUUUUUCCUCCAGUGGAAUCUGAACAAGAUUGAUGUGUCAGAUGAUGGUAAAUCCAAGUAAAAAAGAAAAAAAAAAGAAAUAUCUCUGAGAAUUGCUGCUUCUCCUGACUUUAUCAACUCUCUUUUGUAGUGAUACCAUUGAUGAUGGAGUGUUUCAUGUCUUUUUAUAUGUGGAAAAACUGUACUUUUCCCUUGUUUCUCAAGUUCCUUUCUUUAACAAGGCCCCUUGUUCUCUGUCUCACCUAUUUUCAGUUUCUCAAGUUGCAGGGUAGAUUUAUCUUUAUGAUGUAAUGGAUGGGACUUUGUUCCUCCUCGCCUUUCUGGCGAUUUCAAUUAGCUUAGAAAGCCUAUCACUGUUUAGCUUGACAUGUAAUCUUCUGAGCUUCCUCAUAGCAAGACCUGG